GAUGAACGCUGGCGGCGUGCCUAACACAUGCAAGUCGAGCGAUCUUCUUCGGAAGAGAGCGGCGGACGGGUGAGUAACGCGUGGGUAACCUGCCCUGUACACGCGGAUAACAUACCGAAAGGUAUGCUAAUACGAGAUAAUAUGCUUUUGUCGCAUGGUAGAAGUAUCAAAGCUCCGGCGGUACAGGAUGGACCCGCGUCUGAUUAGCUAGUUGGUAAGGUAACGGCUUACCAAGGCGACGAUCAGUAGCCGACCUGAGAGGGUGAUCGGCCACAUUGGAACUGAGACACGGUCCAAACUCCUACGGGAGGCAGCAGUGGGGAAUAUUGCACAAUGGGCGAAAGCCUGAUGCAGCAACGCCGCGUGAGCGAUGAAGGC
rnacentral:rRNA from 1 species